CCCCAUCAAUCCAUCUGCUCUCUCGUUCGUACCAGGCCGCCGGCCGUCGCCGCCGCCCGCCCGCCCUUCCCGUCCAUCGUGAAUCUCACGAGCGCUGGGCCGCCAGUCGUGCCCCCUCCUCCUCCCUUCCAGGCCGUCGGCCCUCAUCGGGCGCUAAUCGUGGUGGCGCCCCUGACCGGCCUCAGCCUCCUCCCCGACCCUGUGACUGCGUGCGUCGGGCAUCAUCGUCGUUGGCGGCUAGAAGAUCGGGUUCCCGCCCCUGGACAGGUGCUGGUGGCCCUUGCCACGCGCAGGGCUGUUGGCGACGCCGGCCCUAUCCGAUAACCGCGCGUGGCGCCUCGCCUCGUGCGCCGUUCGUGGCGCUGGUCUGACCAGCGACCGCCUCCUCCCCCUUCCCGCCGGUGUCGGGCGUUGCCUCUCGUUUUCCCCCUCCUGAGGAUCCUGUGCAGCCAUCGCCGCCGCAUCCUCUCCGCACACACGACCUCCCCUUGCCGGCUGCAGUCUCUGGUCCCCGCUGUUGGCCGGGGGGCACAGGCCCUUGCUGCGCGUGCCACCGGCCCGCCGCAGCCGCAGCCGCCUGCAGUGCAGGCCCUUGCUGGCUGGGUUCGCCGUCGGCCCUGGCUGGCCACCGUUCGGUGCUAUUUCUUUGCGUUGGAGGCGGCGACAUCAUCCCGGCCACUGGAACAGUGCUUUCUGGUUGAUGCCUUGCUCAAGAGUUUGCUGAAGUCUCUUGAUCUAGAGAAGUUGACAUGAAAGCAUUGGCUUACAUGAAUGAAGAAGAUAUGGAGUCUUUAGGAACUCCAAUGGGUCCCAGGUAAAAGAUAAUAUCAGCAUUGGCUCACAAAAAGAGGAAGUCAUCAAAACCAUUGCCUACCAGUUGAGUGAUAUCUGGGCUUGUGUAUUAGCUAGACAGCUUGUUGGUGUAUGAUCCUAUUGCUAUCCAGAUUAUUUGGAUCAUUGGAUGUCAAUUUAUGAUGCCUCAGGAUUGUCCAGUAGUUCAGAAGUCCUGCAGCUGCAAUCUAAGACUAGUAGGGUUUCAAUCUUUUGUUUCGUUCGGUUUGUACUGCUGUGUAUUGCUAUAGGAACCUAUCUUAUGCCGCUCUCUACCUCGUCUACCGAGGUUGUACCUACCUGAGCUUGUAAAAGAGUAUAUCGGGAAACCUCUCGCGUAAACAUGCUUGCAAUUGUUCUCUUGUAAUUUACCGUUUGAGGCAUGAGUUAGCUCAUAAAAUUUUUAUGUAAGAUCAAUAUUCUGCGACC